AGAACGUACAAUAAGGAAGUAUCAAUUGGUGACGGAAACACUAUAUACUAGGAAGUCAACGUUGGCAAAUACUCCGAUAAGUUUAUAGUAAAUUGUAAGUUAUUAUCUUCUUUUUAUUUAACUAUUCAUAUUUGUUUGAUAAGCUUUUGAUAUUAGAACUAUACACAUAAUAGUAGUAAUGCUUUUGUUUCAAUUCAUCGCAAACUUUGAUUCUAACUGGUAUUUAUGAUGAUGAUGAAAGAAGUGUUGAUGCAUUGCUUCUUUGUUUAAUACUGUUGUAAAGAAUUGGAUCACUUUCGACAGUAUCUUAUAUGAAUUUGACCUAAGUGCAACAUUCGUACAAUGGAGAUAGCGUCAUACCUAAUGUACAAUUCUCUUAAACUUCUUUCCUAUAUACUUGAAAAUAUUUUAAUCAGUUAUCUUUUUUAUUUAUUGUGUUACAUUACGAAAACAGUAGAAAUCUUCUGAUAUUUUUGUCAGCUUCAGAUACAGGUUAUUGAAUAGUUAAUUAUUGUUUCCGUGUAUAUCAAGUAGGUUGUUUUCAUCAUGUAUACGGAGUUGGAUGACCAUAUUAAAAAAUAUAUUAAUGUUCAAACUUUAUUUUCCGUUUCAACUGGAUCGAAUCAUGUGUCAACAUGAGAACCCCUAAAUAUGAAGAUCCAAUAAGACUCUCUUUUGGCCCCAAAAUAUAGCAGUUUUACAAAAUUGUUUAAAUGUACACUUUCAGUUUUUCAUUAGAAAGUAGAAUGGUUCUGCUAUAUAAAUGUGUUUUUUUUUUACCAUUCAAUGCACAAAUACAUCGGGAGAUAGCAUCAUUAAGGAUGUAUUAUUCUGACGUUUCAGUCUCAUUCAGUCUCAUUGAAAUCUCGUUCUGUUAUUAUUUCUAAAACAUUAGUCACAAAUGGAAAACAGCAAUUAAUUUGAUAAAAAGCAAAAUCAAACUUAACUCUGUGAAAAAUGGGUUUUUUAAAUGAUUAGUUUUUGAGUAUUCAAAUUUUUAGAUUUUAUUACCCAUCAAGUAAGUUUUUUUUUUAACCAAAAUCUUGAGAAAAUAGGUGAGAAAUACAAAAAGUGAUUGUACCAGAAACAUGUAAAUAACACUCACAUUCCUUAUUUCUUUUCAAUUUUUAUAGAUAUGUAUUUUUUCAAUCAUUUAUAACAAAGAAGUUGAAAAAUAUGCAAUUUUUAAUUAAAACUGAGAAAAAUCACAAAUUUACAAAAUUAAUAACAUUUAGAAAUAAAAUUUGACACAUUUAAAAAACAUCAAAAUAUGAUAAACUUUCUAAUAUAAACACUUACCUAUAGAUUUUUCGUCUUCAAUUUAUUAAAGAAAGUAUGACAAAAAGUUUAAUUGUAGAAUUGUGAUUUUUGUUCAUUAUUAAAGCCCCAAAAUAUGUCAAAAUUUAUGAAAAAUAGGAAAAUCAUCAAAAUUCAAUACUUUCAAAGGGCCGUAGCAAUCAAAACUGAAUCAAACCUGCUGACUGCCAUGGGCGAUUGCCAAAUAAAAUUGAUCACGAGAUGUAACAAAAUGGAUCUUAAUAUAAAUUUAAUACUAAACAGAAAAAGAUAAACUUGUGGCUAAGAUGUUAUGCCACAUACACAUGGUGUCAAUAUUGGUGAACACCAGAUCUAGAUUUCGGCAAUAUAUGUCUCAUCAGGGAUGUUAGGAAUCGAAACGGUAUUUGGAAUGCCAUAUAAUUUAUCCUCAAUUUAGGAUAGACUCUUGAAUUUUAAGAGUCAAUAUAGGAUGAACGGAUCAUUUAAACCGGAGGGAAAAUAUGAUACAAGCCUAAACGAAAAAAUAUAAACGAGUCUAAAUUGAAAACUAAGUUCAAACCCGCCUUACCUAUGAUUUGGUUGGAUAAAAAACCUAAUUUGUAUACGUGUGCAUGUAAAACAACUUUCGUUGUUGAAGGGUCUAAAUACAGUACAAACAUCAUUUUUCAAAAGACCAAAAAAGUGAGAAAAACGCAUUUGACUAUCAGGUCGAACACCUUGUGUUUAGUAUUAUCAUCAAUAUAAGACAACUAGCAGCCGGUUGGAUAUUGAAUAUCGAAUAACGAACCGGCUGCUAACUUCAAAUCCAUCCCACAAUUAUCUUUUCUUUUUUUAUCACAUUUGUCAAAUCUUUAAUUUGAAAACUGUUCAAAUGGAAAAAUGAAUAUAAAUACAGAUGAAAAUAGAAUGUACAAUAAUAUAAGGAAGUAUCAAUUGGUGACGGAAACACUCAAUCAUAGGAGGUCAAGAUUGGCAAAUACUCCGAUAAGUUAACUAAAAGUGUCAGUUUAUAUCAAAUUGUAAGUUAUUAUUUUCUUUUAUUUUAUUAUUCAUAUUUAUUUGAUAAGCUUUUGAUAUUAGAAAUAUACAAACCAAUGUAUAAAUGCUUUUGUUUCAAUUUAUCGCAAACUUUGAUUCUUACUGGAAUUUUGUUGCUGAUAAAAGGAGUGUUUCUUCGUUUCAUACUGUUGUAAACAGCUUGAUAACAUCCGAGAGUAUCUUAUAUGAAUUGGCUAAGUGCAACAUUCGAAUCACCGGUAAUCAAGUCGAGCAUACAUUUACUGAAGUGAAUAAAUAUUAUUACAAGUAUUAGUAUUUUACAUGAAUUGACUGAAGUUAAACAUUCGAAUCACUGGCCUAUAUAUAUGACUAUUAUAGAGAAAAGUUCUUAUCCUUUGUAUAAAAUCGGACAUACAUUGAAAGAAGUGAAAAAAACAGUAAUGGGUUAUUUUGCUUAACUUAACGGAUGGUUAUGCAUUUGUUUUUUGAAGGUAGAUUACAAAAUGAGAUUUAUUUUUAUAGUUUCUACUUAAUUUGUUCACACAGUUAAUAUAACAUGUAUAAAGACGUAAGCUUAAUUAGAUUUAGAAUACACACUUUAUAACAUAAAAAAACCUCGUGAAUAAGAAUAUACCUUUCCUUUUACAUUCUACAUAAUCCAUAGAACAUGACGAAGGAACCACAGAUGUCUUUAAAUAAAUGUUGUCAUUGAAUCGAUGAUUCAAAUUGUAGUUGUUCUAUGUAUGUUUAUUUUUGUUGCACUUCAGUGUUUCUGUUUUUCCUUUGUUUCACUCUCAUUGUUAAUGUGUUUCCCUCUGGUUUAGUAACCGGAAUUUGUUUUCCCUCAAUCGUUUUAUGAUUUCGAAACUGCAGUAAACUCUACUGUUGCCUUUAUUUCAUGGACGUGUACCAACAUAUUCCUUUUGAUUCCUCGUUCCGACUUGGCUACACUUGAAAAUAGGACCUUGUAAGUUUGAUACGCUUUUUAAUAUUUGUAUUAUAUUAUGGACAUUAAAUUAUUGUGACCUCGAGCAUUCCUGAUUACUGUUGCCAAUUGUUGUAGUUUAGUCUCAAUUAGUGUCGGUGUAGAAUCUUACUUGCAAUUAAUUUGAGAGAAGUUUAUGUUAUAAUAUUUUUUAAUAAGAAGCACAAAUACAGUGUUGUAAUUUGAAGGGGAAAACUACGGUCCAUAUAGUAUCUGAGCUGAACUAAAGUAUUUGUAUUCAGGCUUGCAGUGACAACAAUAUGAUUGUCUCAGAUUUUGAUGAAAACUUGAAGAAAUCACCUCAAUAACAGGUUAUAAAGAAAUAAAAAUAAGAAAACAAAUUCCCACCAAUUUUAUAUAGUUGCUAUGGAAACAGAGGCAUUUGAAUUUUCCAAAACCACCAGUUUUUCACUAAUUCAGUGUCAUGGAAUUUGAUGUUUAUAUGAAAACCAGUAUGUCUCCAUUCCAAUGCAACUUUUUCAACUAUCAAAUAUUCUUUUUUAACAGCUGGUUUGGUGAUAUUCUAUUUCUUUCUAGACAUUUUUGGGGUACUGAAGGUCCUUUGGAACCAUUUUUUCUCAAAAAAGCCAAAAAUGACUUAAAAUCAGGUUAAAAUAUUAUCUAUUACCAGAACAGCAAAGACAUGUGGUGUUUCUUUAUAUGGGAGAAGUAGAACUUUUUUGAUUUCAUACAAAAUCAGUUUUUGUCAGUUUUCAUGGACCCGAUAAUAAUAAAAUGAAUAUAUGGAGAAUGUGAUUAAAUUUUUUUUCUAGAUGACUGUAUUAUAUAAUAUACCAAACUAGUUAUCAAACUAGUUCACCGUUCAUAAAAGAGGGACGAAAGAUACCAGAAGGUCAGUCAUACUCAUACAUUGAAAAUAAACUGACAACGCCAUGGCUAAAAAAAUUAAAGACAAACAGACAAAUAAUAGUACACAAGACACAACACAGAAAAUUAAUUCAAGACUAAGCAACACGAACUCCACCAAAAACUUGAGGUGAUCUAAGUGCUCCGGAAGGGUACACAGAUCCUGCUCCAUAUGACUUAUAAUUUCUGUUGAUUUACAAUUUCUUGAAUGCAAAUAUCAUGUUGUAUAAUUUAAUACAAUAUUCAAAAUUAUAAUUUCAUGCAACAGAUGUUCUUUUACAGUGUUUCUGAUAUUUUUCAGGCGUAGUAUGGAGAAAAUAUACAAUACAAUUUUCAUAAUAGCAUGCACUGUCUAUGGAUGUACCGUCAAUGGAUGCCCUUCCUUAUGUAGAUGCACGAGCACGAAUGUGGUGUAUUGCAGCGGAAAAUCUCUAACGACAGUCCCGCCUAAUAUACCGAAUUCAACCACUAUAUUGUGAGUAUUGUUUGCAAAUUUCUUUUUAACUAAAACGAAUCUAAUAAUAAUAUUUUAGUGCACACAAAGUCCUUCGUUUGAUGUCGAGAUUAAACGUAAUGAAAUUGUUGACCUAUUGUUGUGUGAGUAAUACAUUGUUACUAAUUACCGCCGCAGUACACAGUGAUUAACAACAAUGCCGAGAUAAGUUCACGGAAUACAGCUUUUUCAUAAAACAAAUAUUUACUCUUAAUAAAAAUAUAAAUAAUUAAAUUAAACUAAUUGUUCACAGAACAAUUGAAGUUCCCUCCACUAAAAUUUUGAAAAUGAAAAUGAAAAUUUCCGCCGGUUUUCUCAAGUUACUUUGUUGUACUAUCAUAGGUCUUGUCCUACUGAUUAUACCAAGUAUAUAAUUACUACAUUCUUUUGUCUGAUUUAAGGGAGAAAAUUGCAAAUUUCCGGUUAUGAAAUCAUCAUUUCCGAUCUCAUAUGAUUGAUGUACCAAUACUGAUUUUAUAUCCUUUAAACUGUAAAAAGGGAGAAAAUGGGCUACGUCCGGUUGAGAAAACGGCAUUUCUGGUAUCAUAAGAUAGCUGUAUUCACACCGUUUCCCAAAAUAUACCUUUUGUUUUACUUGUGUCUGUAAUAAGACAGAUAAUAUGUUUCUUCUGUUUAUAGAAUAUAACUAUUGGUCUCAAAUGAUAGGUUUAUGUAUGCCCAUUGAAAAAUAUGUAUUGACUCUAAGUACUUUUUAAUGACAUCAGUUUAAAAAAUAUUACUUCCAGUUACUCAAGAUCACUUCCGGCAAUCAUUUGUCAAUGUCACCCAACAUUUUACUAAGACUAAUUUUGCUUUAUCUGGUACCAAUCUGAUGUAAUUGAACCUAAACACACAAUACCAUCUACAAGAUUACAUUGGGUUGUUUCAGAUAAAAGAGGGACGAAAGACACCAAAGGGACAGUCAAAAUCACAAAUCCAAAACAAACCGGCAACGCCAUGGCUGAAAUGAAAAAGACAAACAGACAAACAAUAAUACACAUGACACAACACAGAACACCAACGAACAAACAACAUAAACCCGACCAAAAACCUGGGGCGACCUCGGGUGCUCCGGAAGGGUAAGCAGAUCCUACUCCACAGUAAAAAAAAAGUGAAAUUGAAAUUAUCCCUUCAUAAAUUUUACGGAAGCCAUCACGCGUUGGUUGACAUUUAUGGAAUAACCGUUUCAAAGGUAAUAACGGAUAUGUUUCUUAUAACUACAACUUCCCUUUUCACGAAUGUGACCUAUCGAUUUCGACUGUUUACCGGGUUUGUAAUAAUUUGAUCAACACGAAGGGUGUCACAUUGGGAGCAGUGUCUACCAACCUUUUACGGAGCACCUGAGAUCACCCUUCGGAUUUUGGUAGAGUUCGUGUUGCUAAGUCUUUAGUUUUCUUAUGUGCUGUUAUUUGUCUGUUUGUCUUUAUUUCUUUUUUUAUCCAUGGUGUUGUCAGUUUAUUUUAGAUCUAUGAGUUUGACCGUCCCUUUGGUAUCUUUCGUCCCUUUUUUAAAAAACAAAAUAAUAAAUGAAGAGGGUAUGUUUGUUUUCUAAUUAAGGUUGAACUUGAGGAAAAAUGUUCUCUUAAGUGAAUGUUUAUUCACAAAAUAAACAAAUAAACUCAUCAUAGAUACCAGGACAAAAUUUUAAAUAUACGCCAGACGCGCGUUUCGUCUACAAAUGCCUCAUCAGUGACGCUCGAAUCCAAAAAAGUAAAAAAGGCCAUAUAAAGUAAGAAGUUGAAGAGCGUUGAGGACCAAAACUCCUAAAAUAUUUGCCAAAUACAGGUUAGGUAAUUUAUGCCUGAGGUAGAAAAGCCUUAUUAUUGAAACAAAUUCAAAAUUUUGUAAACAGUUAAUUUAUAAAUAUAACAAUAUCAAUGAUAAACAAAGAAAUAGAAAUGUUUUCUUUUUAAAAACAAAAUAAAAGGUAUUGUGAUACUCGGAGGGAAUAUAAAUGAAAGUAUGACAGAAAAAGAAAGCACACAAACGUGUAGUUAAUCUGUAAAUAGUUCAAAACAAUCAAAAGGAAAUAUUAGUUAAUCGAUAUAUGGAGAUGUAUUAACCCCCAAAAAGGACAGGUUAUUAUGAAAAGGGGAAUACUAAUUCAAUAUACUAAGAAGUAUGAUAUAUUUGUUAUACAAAGUCUAAUCGAUGAAUGUAAUGUUUUCCAGCAAAUUAAUUCUGUAUUUAGUAAUCUUAGAUGACAAAGAAUGUAAAACUAACAAUUGAUUGCCAUUAACUGAGCAAUCUUCCUGGGUUUUUUUCAGUAAAACUUACAUUACAACUGCUGUAUUGGAUUGUUUUAAAUAGAAUAUAGUGCAAUAGACUUGAUUUUCAUCUUUGCCUCAUUUCAAAUAGCCUCUUUUCAUGCCGUUUGUAUUGCUUUUUGCGAAUACAGUAAAAGGUUUGACCCCUCUUAGGUCAUGUUAUAAAGUUUGAUUUUGGCUAAUUUUAAUUUUUUAAGAAACCGUACAGAAUAUCUACAAAAUAAUUGAACUGAAUUGUUAGAUGCGUAUGUUGAACUCAUAACUUUCGGUUAAAAGGGCAUGUAGACUAAUAGAUUGCAGUUUAAGCCCCUCUUAUUCAUAUAGUAAUAUAAUUCAAUAGCCAUGUAUAAUAAAGAUCUAGGGUCCUUUGGAUUGAUGUCCUUGGUUGAUGAUCUUAAAAGUAAGGUCAGAAUCAUAGGUGAUUUGAUGGUCUAGAUUUUGACCUUUUCUUUUUAUCAUUAUAUAUGCAUGAUCAACUAUGGGACUUUGUGCAUUAAGUUGCAAGCCAUAUGAUCUUGAAAAAGGAACCGAGAGGGUCCCUUUGUAAACCGGAAGUAGCUAUUUUUUGUACUUUUUGAAUAGAAAAGUAUAUACAUGAUAUAAAACCAUUUAUUUUUGGAAUCAGUGUCUAAACUAUCACAUGAAAAUGAAAGUGACAUUUUUCAAGUAACAAAUUAUCUCCCUUAUUUACAAAAGAAAUUGUAUAGGAACCAUACAUUUGUUUCAAUCAGUUCACAGGUAGAUGUCUGUUUAAACUCUAUUACAAUAUUUUCAAAUCAAAAUGCAUGUUUUUUUUAGGUGAACAAUUGGUUUUCAAUUCAGUUUAGCCUGAUGAAAUUUCCAGGCUUUAUAAUUUUGUUGAGGUAAAUCUGUUACUAUUUAUUUUAUCAUUUUGAACCAGUUAACAAUAUUGCUACUAAUGGUUUUUCUAAUAAAGUUGAAUGCGUACAGAAUACAGUGUUUUGGUUGCUGUUUGAAGAAAUUAUAAAUACAAGGAUGUUAAUGUUAAAGCCUUUGAAGUCAUAAGAUAUUUAAAUUAAAUAAGUGAUUUGAAUAUUGUCCAUCGACAGGUUACACUGCACUUGGUUAUUGCAAAUUAUAUUACUGCAGCAUUUAUAAUUAUAUUAUAAUUGGAAUAACGAUCAAUACCUAAAGAUAGGAAAGAUAACUUAAACAGUCUAGGGGGAUAAUUCUCGGUUGGCAAUUAACAUUUUAAGAACAGCAAGCCAUAAUUUAACAUGUAGAUGCACGAGCACGAAUGUGUAUUGCAGCAGAUUAUCUCUAUCGGCAGUCCCAUCUAAUAUACCGAAAUAAACAUUUAUAUCUACGUAAGUAAAAAAAACACCAUAAUUUUAUUUAUCAAAAUUAAAUCGCGAUCGAAACAUUGUAGUACAGUGUCCACACUCAUAAAUCGUCUUCAUCUCGGUGUUAUCAGGUUCGUUGGUUAAGGGGUUCGCAAAAUUGAACCUAGGGUUUCAAAAACACAAUGUAAAUUUCUUAUACUGCGAUUUGAAAAAAAAAUAUCAAACUUACAAGGAAAGUUCUAUAAGAGAUAUAACCGGUUUAUCUUAUAGUUCAGUUGAAACUAUUAUAGUGUUCAAUAAUACAGCUUGUUAAUUGAUUAUCAUUAAAAGCCAUUCUGUAUAAACAAUAAAAAUGUCUAUGUUCUUCUAUGUACCCCUGUAUUUACAACAGUUUAUCAGACUAACGUAUAUAUAUAUAGUUUAUCAGACUAACGUAUAUAUAUAUAGUUUAUCAGACUAACGUAUAUAUAUAUAGUUUAUCAGACUAACGUAUAUAUAUAUAGUUUAUCAGACUAACGUAUAUAUAUAUAGUUUAUCAGACUAACGUAUAUAUUGUUACGAUUUAGUGAUCGUAUUAUUAAAUUAAUGGAUCUCGUGUUAUCCAUAGUUUACAGUAGUAAUUUUAUGAGUCAGCUGUUUUUGUUUACGUUUUCGCAACGCUAUUUUUUACGAUGGAAUGUCACCUCGUACAGAAUAUUCCCGGUUGGUUGGCAUGUAUUUCAAUGAUACAUGAUGCGCUUAUGUGUUUACCUUAUUUGAUUAUUUAUUUUCUUAAUAUAAUAACUUGUGUUUUAGCCGUAAUCGUCUAAAUACCAGCAGUGCCAUAGUUUAUUUACAAGAGAAGCCAUAUUUAUUUGUGUAUUGGCGGUCUGCAACACGAGAUUGCCUGUGAACAUAACAAACGUUUUGAUUGGUCGAUCCAUUGACCGGAAAAUUAUAAAUAGAAGGUUGACGAAACGAACUUUAGAUUUAAUCUCAUCGCCUGCAAGAGCAGUCGGAAUUUAUGCUGUCUUGAUGUCCUUAUAAUUUAGUGUGAAGGUUUUGAAUGUUUUAAGAAAACUAAACCUUCUUACACAUGGCAAUUGUUUGUUUUGAAGAAGAAGAAGACGACCUUCGACCUACGGGAAAGUCCCGUCAGCUGUCGUUCCACUUAGUCAACUUUCUAUAAAUACGACGAGAGAGGUUUUCUGGAAAUCUACUUUCACUUUAGCAGAGAGAAACCUUUAUGAGAUGAUUACGGCAAAUUGGUUAUAAAUAUGAAUGUAUGUUUUUAUGAUCAAUUGUAAAUAUUUGAUUAUAUAUAGAUAUUAUAUAAAAUACCUAUGAAAUGUUACCUGACUUAGUUAUUAUUUCAACCAUAUACCAACUCAAAGGAUCCAUGCAAUUUAUGUUCGAUCGAGCCUCCUUAUUCAAUUUAACUUACCACUCGGUUUAAGGGGCGAAAUCGUUACAAUAUAUAUAACAAUACCAUCUUCAUGCGUUAUAUAUCAUGUACUGUAGUACGCCGCUAGAUUUAAACUGACGAGGAAAGGUAACACACGGCCACUGAAAGCUUUAUUAUUAUUAUUUUAUUAUUUUAGUAGAGCCCAGGUGGUCGUGUGGUCUAGCGGGACGGAUGCAGUGCAGGCGAUUUGGUGUCACGAUACCACAGUAGCAUGGGUUCGAAUCCCGGCGAGGGAAAAACCAAUAAUUUGCGAAAGCAAAUUUACAGAUCUAACAUUGUUGGGUUGAUGUUUAGACGAGUUGUAUAUACAUUAUGUACACAGCUAUGUAUCACCAUCAUUGAUGGCGAUCCGAUGGAUACAUCUGUUGUAGAGUUGUCACUGACUCAGACGUACUUAUAAAUAUAAUUAUUUUCUGUGACUGUAUCUUACAUUAAUUUGUAGGGAUAAUUUAGCUGAUCUGUAACAGUACCAUCUUCAUGCCUUAUAUAUCAUGUACUGCAGUAUGCCACGAGAUUAAAACCGACGAGGAAAGGUAACAAACGACCACUGAAAGCUUUAGUUUAGUAGAGCCAAGGUGGUCGUGUGGUCUCGCGGGACGGCUGCAGAGCAGGCGCUUUGGUGUCACGAUAUCACAAUAGCAUGGGUUCAAAUCCCGGUGAGGGAAGAACCAAAAAAUUUGCGAAAGCAAAUUUACAGAUCUAUCAGUGUUAGGUUGAUGUUUAGACGAGUUGUAUAUACAUUAUGUACACAGUCAUGUUUCACCAUCAUUUAUGGCGAUCCGAUGGAUACAUCUGUUGUAGAGUUGUCACUGACUCAGACGUACUUAUAAAUAUAAUUAUUUUCUGUGACUGUAUCUUACAUUAAUUUGUAGGAUCCUUUACUGUAGAUAAUUUGGCUGAUCUGUAACAAUACCAUCUUCAUGCCUUAUAUAUCAUGUACUGUAGUACGCCGCUAGAUUAAAACUGACGAGGAAAGGUAACACACGGCCACUGAAAGCUUUAUUUUAGUAGAGCCGAUGUGGUCGUGUGGUCUAGCGGGACGGCUGCAGUGCAGACGAGUUGGUGUCUCGAUAUCACAGUAGCAUGGGUUCGAAUCCCGGCGAGGGAAGAACCAAAAACUUGCGAAAGCAAAUUUACAGAUCUAACAUUGUUGGGUUGAUGUUUAGACGAGUUAUAUAUAUAUAUAUAUAUAUAUAUAUAUAUAUAUAUAUAUAUAUAUAUAUACCAGAAAGACUUUUGCUCAUUGUUGAAGCCCGUGAGGUGACCUAAACUUGUUAAUGUCUGUGUCAUUUUGGUCUCUUGUGGACAGUUGUCUCUUGACAAUCACACCACAUCUUCUUUUUUAUAUUUGAAGGAAAAAACGGGACUUCAAAUGUUUGCCGGAAUGGAAAUCGGUUAAUUCAGGGUUCAGUUUAUUCAGGUUUGAGUGCAUAUCUUUUUUUUUGUAUUACAACUAUAUGCUCGUAUAACUUUAACAUGUUUUCAAACAUCUAUACGUUCACCAUUGCUAGUGGCAUAUGAUUUCUUCACAUUAAAUUAAUGUAAAAAUGCUUUUUUUAAUGUCCUUUGUAGGUAUAUUAGCCAAAAUAAGAUUACCCUGAAAGAUGAUUACGCAUUUGCUGGAUUGUCGGCUCUUAAAAUUAUGUGAGUAUAUUAAUACAUAUAUUCAAAAGUGAAUAAUUAUGACGAAAUUUACUAGAUUCCUCUGUCCCAUUGGUAUCGGCAUCAAUAUAUGCCAUCAAGACCUAUUUUUUUUGGUUUGAUUUCAAAUGUUAUUUAUAAGCAGCG
rnacentral:lncRNA from 1 species